AUACGAUGAAGAGUUUGAUCCUGGCUCAGGAUGAACGCUAGCGGCAGGCUUAACACAUGCAAGUCGAGGGGUAUAGGUUUUCGGACCUAGAGACCGGCGCACGGGUGCGUAACGCGUAUGCAAUCUACCUUUCACAAAGGGAUAGCCCAGAGAAAUUUGGAUUAAUACCUUAUAGUAAUACGACUU
rnacentral:rRNA from 1 species